CUUUGUGGUUUUCAUAGAGUAAUUUGUUGAAGAAUCAUUUUCAUAUCAUCUCAAUCUGUACCUAGGUGUGACUUCUGUCAUUUUUCUUCUUCUUAAUUUUGAUUCUUAAACAGCUGGAAAUGUUGUUUGCUCGUGGGGGCGAGUAGAGGAUGGACAGUUAGGCCAUGGUGACACUGAUGAUCGACUUUUGCCUACAAAACUGAGUGCAUUGGAUGGCCAAGACAUAAUAUGUGUUACUUGUGGAGCUGAUCAUACUAUGGCACGUUCUGAGUCUGGCAGGGAUGUAUAUAGUUGGGGAUGUGAUAAGGAACCAAAGGCAGCAGCAGGGAACAUAUUCAUGAAGCUAGAAGCAAGGGUGCAAGCAGAUGUGCAAGAAGUAAACAAGCCCAAAAGAAGAAUUACGAAACCUUCGUACCUUAAGGAUUUCGUAUGAGCAGCGUGGCCAUGCGGUAGUAUAAUCUUGCUAGAAUAAGCUUUGUCUGCCAAUAGGGGACAAAGAUAACAAACUCUGUUAUUUGUAAUAUUCCUGCAAGCUAAAGGACAAAUUCAGUUAUUAGAAAGCAGUAUAAAUAACCUUGUAAAUAAAGCAAGAGCAAUGAGAAAUAUAGAAGCACUUCCUUUACUCUUCUUA